rnacentral:rRNA from 1 species
AUGAACGCUAGCUACAGGCUUAACACAUGCAAGUCGAGGGGCAGCAUGGUCUUAGCUUGCUAAGGCCGAUGGCGACCGGCGCACGGGUGAGUAACACGUAUCCAACCUGCCGUCUACUCUUGGACAGCCUUCUGAAAGGAAGAUUAAUACAAGAUGGCAUCAUGAGUCCGCAUGUUCACAUGAUUAAAGGUAUUCCGGUAGACGAUGGGGAUGCGUUCCAUUAGAUAGUAGGCGGGGUAAUGGCCCACCUAGUCUUCGAUGGAUAGGGGUUCUGAGAGGAAGGUCCCCCACAUUGGAACUGAGACACGGUCCAAACUCCUACGGGAGGCAGCAGUGAGGAAUAUUGGUCAAUGGGCGAGAGCCUGAACCAGCCAAGUAGCGUGAAGGAUGACUGCCCUAUGGGUUGUAAACUUCUUUUAUAAAGGAAUAAAGUCGGGUAUGCAUACCCGUUUGCAUGUACUUUAUGAAUAAGGAUCGGCUAACUCCGUGCCAGCAGCCGCGGUAAUACGGAGGAUCCGAGCGUUAUCCGGAUUUAUUGGGUUUAAAGGGAGCGUAGAUGGAUGUUUAAGUCAGUUGUGAAAGUUUGCGGCUCAACCGUAAAAUUGCAGUUGAUACUGGAUAUCUUGAGUGCAGUUGAGGCAGGCGGAAUUCGUGGUGUAGCGGUGAAAUGCUUAGAUAUCACGAAGAACUCCGAUUGCGAAGGCAGCCUGCUAAGCUGCAACUGACAUUGAGGCUCGAAAGUGUGGGUAUCAAACAGGAUUAGAUACCCUGGUAGUCCACACGGUAAACGAUGAAUACUCGCUGUUUGCGAUAUACUGCAAGCGGCCAAGCGAAAGCGUUAAGUAUUCCACCUGGGGAGUACGCCGGCAACGGUGAAACUCAAAGGAAUUGACGGGGGCCCGCACAAGCAGUGGAGUAUGUGGUUUAAUUCGAAGCAACGCGAAGAACCUUACCAGGGCUUGACAUAUAUAGGAAUAAGUAAGAGAUUACUUAGCUCUUCGGAGCCUGUAUACAGGUGGUGCAUGGUUGUCGUCAGCUCGUGUCGUGAGAUGUUGGGUUAAGUCCCGCAACGAGCGCAACCCUUGUUGUCAGUUACUAACAGGUUCCGCUGAGGACUCUGACAAGACUGCCAUCGUAAGAUGUGAGGAAGGUGGGGAUGACGUCAAAUCAGCACGGCCCUUACGUCCGGGGCUACACACGUGUUACAAUGGGGGGUACAGAGGGCCGCUACCACGCGAGUGGAUGCCAAUCCCAAAAACCUCUCUCAGUUCUGACUGGAGUCUGCAACCCGACUCCACGAAGCUGGAUUCGCUAGUAAUCGCGCAUCAGCCACGGCGCGGUGAAUACGUUCCCGGGCCUUGUACACACCGCCCGUCACACCAUGAGAGUUGGGGAUACCCGAAGCCUGUGAGCCAACAGUAAUGAGGCAGCAGUCGAAGGUAGAAUCAAUGAUUGGGGUG